rnacentral:rRNA from 1 species
CCCUUAGAUGUUCUGGGCCGCACGCGUGCUACACUGAGUAAUUCAAUGGGUAAGGGAACGCUAGAGCAUUACCUAAUCUUGAAAUUUGCUCGUGAUGGGGAUCGACGGUUGCAAUUUUCCGUCGUGAACGAGGAAUACCUUGUAGGCGCAUGUCAUCAUCAUGCGCCGAAUACGUCCCUCCCCUUUGUACACACCGCCCGUCGCUCCUACCGAUUGAGUGAUCCGGUGAGGCUCUGGGACCUGGACGGAAAGAGCGUUUCGCUUGUUCUGUUUGGGAAACUUGGUCGAACCUUAUCAUUUAGAGGAAGGAGAAGUCGUAACA